CAACUACUCCCUUUGUCCCAAAUUUCUUGUCUUAGAUUUGUCUAGAUAUGGAUGUAUCUAAUACUAAAAUGUGACUUGAUACAUCCGUAUCUAGACAAAUCUAAGACAAGAAUUUUGGGAUGGAGGGAGUACUUU
rfam:Triticum urartu cultivar G1812 contig965081, whole genome shotgun sequence.